rnacentral:rRNA from 1 species
AACGAACGCUGGCGGCAUGCCUAACACAUGCAAGUCGAACGAGACCUUCGGGUCUAGUUGCGCACGGGUGCGUAACGCGGGGGAACCUGCCCGUAGGUUCGGAAUAACUCCCCGAAAGGGGUGCUAAUACCGGAUAAUGUCUUCGGACCAAAGAUUUAUCGCCUUUGGAUGGGCGCGCGUUGGAUUAGCUAGUUGGUAGUGUAAAAGCCUACCAAGGCGACGAUCCAUAGCUGGUCGGAGAGGAUGAUCAGCCACACUGGGAAUGAGACACGGCCCAGACUCCUACGGGAGGGAGCAGUGGGGAAUAUUGGACAAUGGGCGCAAGCCUGAUCCAGCAAUGCCGCGUGAGAGAUGAAGGCCUUAGGGUUGUAAAGCUCUUUUAGCCGGGAUGAUAAUGACAGUACCGGGAGAAUAAGCACCGGCUAACUACGUG